GACGAACGCUGGCGGCGUGCUUAACACAUGCAAGUCGAGCGGAGCGGCGAACGGGUGAGUAACGCGUGAGUAACUGCCCCCCUCUCUGGGAUAACAGUUGGAAACGGCUGCUAAUACCGGAUAGUGGGGGAUGACUCGGGUCCUAUCAGCUUGUUGGGGGGGUAGUGGCCUACCAAGGCGAAGACGGGUAGCCGGCCUGGGAGGGCGACCGGCCACAUGGGGCUGAGGGAGGGAGCAAACUCCUACGGGGGGCAGCGGGGGGGAAUAUUGCACAAUGGGGGAGACCCUGAGGCAGCAGCGCGCGUGCGGGAUGACGGCCUUGGGGUUGGAAACCGCUUUAAGCCAUGACGCGGUAGUGGCAGAAGAAGCACCGGCUAACUACGUGCCAGCAGCCGCGGUAAUAC
rnacentral:rRNA from 1 species